rnacentral:rRNA from 1 species
GACGAAGGGGGCUAGCGUUGUUCGGAAUUACUGGGCGUAAAGCGCGUGUAGGCGGUUGCCCAAGUCGAGUGUGAAAUCCCGGAGCUCAACUCCGGAAGUGCAUUCGAUACUGUCAAGCUUGAGUGCGGGAGAGGGAAGCGGAAUUCCUGGUGUAGAGGUGAAAUGCGUAGAUAUCUGGAGGAAUACCGGUGGCGAAGGCGGCAUCCUGGACCGGCAUUGACGCUGAGGAGCGAAAGCUAGGGGAGCAAACGGG